rnacentral:rRNA from 1 species
GUGGGGAAUAUUGCACAAUGGGCGCAAGCCUGAUGCAGCAACGCCGCGUGAGGGAAGACGGUUUUCGGAUUGUAAACCUCUGUCUUUGGUGACGAAGAAGUGACGGUAGCCAAGGAGGAAGCCACGGCUAACUACGUGCCAGCAGCCGCGGUAAUACGUAGGUGGCAAGCGUUAUCCGGAAUUACUGGGUGUAAAGGGAGCGCAGGCGGGAUAGCAAGUCAGCGGUGAAAUGCAUGGGCUUAACUCAUGAGCUGCCGUUGAAACUGUUAUUCUUGAGUGGAGUAGAGGCAGGCGGAAUUCCGAGUGUAGCGGUGAAAUGCGUAGAUAUUCGGAGGAACACCAGUGGCGAAGGCGGCCUGCUGGGCUCUAACUGACGCUGAGGCUCGAAAGUGUGGGGAGCAAACAGGAUUAGAAACCCUAGUAGUCC